rnacentral:rRNA from 1 species
UACGGGGGGGGCAAGCGUUGUUCGGAAUUACUGGGCGUAAAGGGCUCGUAGGUGGCCAACUAAGUCAGACGUGAAAUCCCUCAGCUUAACUGGGGAACUGCGUCUGAUACUGGAUGGCUUGAGUUUGGGAGAGGGACGCGGAAUUCCAGGUGUAGCGGUGAAAUGCGUAGAUAUCUGGAGGAACACCGGUGGCGAAGGCGGCCACCUGGACGGUAACUGACGCUGAGACGCGAAAGCGUGGGGAGCAAACAGG